GUCACCUGCUAAUUUGUUUUUUAAUACAUGUAUUUAAAAAGAGCAUCAUAUGGAAAAUAAUUAGCACCAGUUACAGGGGAUUUUCAACAUUAAGUUCAAUAGUGUAAGAUAUUAACAGACUUCCAUACAUCUGUUUCUGCGUUACAAAGUUUCAAAUUAUUUUCAAUUAUACCACAAGCAGGGAGGUAAUUAAGGUGUUUAUAUU